GUGGCUCAGUGGUAGAGUGCUUGCCUUGCAUGCAUGAGGCCCUGGGUUCAUUCUCAGC
rnacentral:tRNA from 1 species